UAGGGAAUCUUCGGCAAUGGGGGGAACCCUGACCGAGCAACGCCGCGUGAGUGAAGAAGGUUUUCGGAUCGUAAAGCUCUGUUGUUAAGGAAGAACGAGUGUGAGAAUGGAAAGUUCAUACUGUGACGGUACUUAACCAGAAAGGGACGGCUAACUACGUGCCAGCAGCCGCGGUAAUACGUAGGUCCCGAGCGUUGUCCGGAUUUAUUGGGCGUAAAGCGAGCGCAGGCGGUUAGAUAAGUCUGAAGUUAAAGGCAGUGGCUCAACCAUUGUAGGCUUUGGAAACUGUUUAACUUGAGUGCAGAAGGGGAGAGUGGAAUUCCAUGUGUAGCGGGGAAAUGCGUGGAUAUAUGGAGGAACACCGGUGGCGAAAGCGGCUCUCUGGUCUGUAACUGACGCUGAGGCUCGAAAGCGUGGGGAGCGAACAGG
rnacentral:rRNA from 1 species